rnacentral:lncRNA from 1 species
AUGGACCAGGAAGCAGCUGGACGAAGCCACGUGGCUGUGCCUGAGUGUCACCAGCUCUGGUCUGUCGUCACGGGGCGGGGCGCUGAGUCCCAGCACCCUGCCAAGCGCUCCAGCGGCAGCCUGUUCAGUACUGAAAGAGGCUGGGCAAGAGGGAAAAGCCCCUGCGAGGUGACAGGCUGGGUGCAAACACCUGGCUGGCCCGCACCUCUCCUGGGGGGUUUCACCUGCCUCAGACCACGCCAGGAACUCCCCGGGCGUCUCACGCCGCUUCAAGCUCGGCUUUCAUUUGCCUCUGGGUUCUCUUGCCCACCCAUCCUCCCAGCAGCUCAGGGUGUCCUUCUGGACCUGGUCUCCUUCAGCUUCUUUAAGAAAACACCCUAUUAUUAUUAUUAUGUAUUCAUGAAGCAUACAGAGGUGACAGAGAGCUCCCACCCGCCAGCUCACUCCCCAAACACCCACCACCCACAACCACAGCCAGGAGCCAGGAACUCUAGCCGGGUCUCCAUGCGAGUGACAGGGACCCAACUACCUGAGCCAACACAGCUGCUCCCAGGGCCUGCAUUUGCAGCAAGCAGGAGCCCAGCACCUCCCCUAGGAUGUGGCUGUCCCAGUGAGUACCUUAACCACUGCACCAAACACUCAUGCCUCUUUCAUCCUCUGAAGGCUCAAGGUUUCAGAGCCACACAUCUGAAUCAUGAAGUUGGGUCCAAGGAAAAAUUCACACGGACCAAGACUCAGUUUGGGGCCAAGCGGUUUGUCUGCCUGAUCUCAUUUCACCCUUUGCCAUCGCCCUUGGAGGCACACAGCCUGCCCCCACUUACAGAAAGAGAGGUUUACAGAGGUCACGCUGUCCAAGGUCACAGAGUGAGCCUGUGUCACUCCAAAGUCCCCGCUUGUUAUCACCGCGCGGUACACAGUGAAAUGACACAGUCCAGAAGUCACACCAAUGAGGGGUCCCUCUGUCCGCGCGGCCCCCACUGGAAGCCCCCUUGCAAGGGACUGAGAUUAAAGCAGAUAAACAAGUGGAACUCACUGGCCAGCUGGACUCCACCCCCAUCCCUGCGCCCUAACUUCAGGACAGGAAGUAAGAGACUUGCCCCAGUGCAAGGCGAGAAGGGAGACGCUAACAAUUGGCUGUCUGAGACGGCAUUGCAAACACACUUAGCUGCAAACGCCACCCUGCCUUUUCGCAAACACACGGCGAGACGGCAGAGAGAGGGUCUUAUUAAACCACGGUGGACAGAGGGGUGA